rnacentral:misc_RNA from 1 species
GUAGGUGAACCUGCGGAAGGAUCAUUAGUGAAUUAAACAUGCUUGGUGUCUUCGCUUCGGCAAGGCCCUUGCUUAAAUCACAUCCUAACACCUGUGAACUGUAAGACGUAUGAUGAGGUCUUUGGCCAAGUCAUCGUCUGCCCAUUUUUAACAAACAAUUAAUGUAACAAACGUAGUCUUAUUAUAACCUAAUAAAACUUUCAACAACGGAUCUCUUGGCUCUCGCAUCGAUGAAGAACGCAGCAUCUGA